AGAGAGAGACAUGCGCGCAUAUCAAUAAGCGGAGGAAAAGAAACUAACAAGGAUUCCCUUAGUAACGGCGAGUGAAGCGGGAAGAGCUCAAAUUUGAAAUCUUCAAGGUUUUACCUUGACGAAUUGUAGUUUAAAGAAGUGUUUUCUGCUGAAGUUUUGGUAAAAGUUCUUUGGAAUAGGACAUCAUAGAGGGUGAGAAUCCCGUAUUUGACCAUUAUUUUCAGCUUUGUGAUACACUUUCAAAGAGUCGGAUUGUUUGGGAAUGCAGUCCAAAAUGGGUGGUAAAUUUCAUCUAAAGCUAAAUAUUGGCGAGAGACCGAUAGCGAACAAGUACCGUGAGGGAAAGAUGAAAAGAACUUUGAAAGGAGAGUUAAACAGUACGUGAAAUUGUCAAAAGGGAAGCGUUUGACACCAGUGUUGUUUUCUCGAAAAUCAAUUAAAAAUGGCUCGAUUUUGUAUUGUUGAGACCUUAAAAGCUCACUGUACAUUUUUCGUGUCUUUUUUAAUGCACUUUUCGUUUAACAAGUCAACAUCAGUUUCUUUUGUUGUAAAAGGGUCAUUGGAAGGUGGCUUUCUUUUCAGGAGAAAGUGUUUAUAGCCUUUGGCCUCUGCAAUCGGAGAGACUGAGGUCUGCAGCGUAGACUCUUCGGGGUUAGAUACAUUUGUGCUAAGUUAUAGCUUUUUAUAGACAACUUGUUGACUAUAAUUAGUCUUGUAGCUUACUCGCUUAUGCUAUUUUACCUACGCUUAGGAUGUUGAAGAUGUAGCACAUCAU
rnacentral:rRNA from 1 species